UACGUAGGGUGCGAGCGUUAAUCGGAAUUACUGGGCGUAAAGCGUGCGCAGGCGGUUCUCCAAGUCCGUUGUGAAAGCCCCGGGCUCAACCUGGGAAUGGCAGUGGAAACUAGGGGGACUGGAAUCUGGCAGAGGGGGGGUGGAAUGCCGCGUGUAGCAGUGAAAUGCGUAGAGAUGCGGCGGAACACCGAUGGCGAAGGCGGGUCUCUGGGCAACAACUGACGCUGAGGAGCGAAAGCGUGGGGGAGCGAACAGG
rnacentral:rRNA from 1 species